rnacentral:lncRNA from 1 species
AAACUUGGCGGGACAUCCAGGUCUAAACGUUAUUGUGCAUGGGUCAUUUCUAGCGCAUGGUUUACUAUGUAGUCAGUUGAUGAGUUUCUGUCAGAUUAUGGGCAGUACAUACAUAUGGGUAGUGUACAUAGCUAGUACCUUUGAGAGAGAGGGAAGUGACCAAACCAGCAGUGGCAGCCAUGUUGAAAUGUGUCUAAAGUGUCACUUUGGGCUUGUAAGUUUCCAUGUUGCAUCAGGAAGCUCACAUAAAAGAACACUACAAAGGAGGCCAUCAGUGUGAAGACGAGGCUGCAGGAGUUAGUCAGGGUAGAGGCUAGAAAGGAAAAGGCCAUUUCAGUAGAUGUCGGGAAAGAAGUAGCAUGAGUGCUCUUGCGGGGACUGAGGGUGACAGAAGCUUACCCAUGCCCUCUGGUCUGCAUCCUGUCAUGUCAGGGUUACCCUUUGUGUUUUCCCUGGGACAAGGAGAGAUGUCCUCUCCCACUAUAUCUUCUGCCCAUUUGGAUGGACAGGGUUCUGAGUCCAGUGCUUGCUCAUGCUGCUGAGCCUCAGCCCAGAGGUUUUCCCUUGUGUUCUUUCUGAACAAGGUCUUAAGAAGAGUUAGUGUACCUCAAGGCUAUGUGCUUAAUGUGUAGUGCCAUCUUUGAUUGAAACAAUUAGAGCAGAGAUACUCUUGGUGUAUACCAGUGAGAGGCUGAGCAUGCAUAAGACAUCUUCCACAACAAAGAAGAAUCACCUUAAAGUUUGUUAGUGUCCAGAAUAAGAAUUGGUUUGGCUGUUGGCUUACUUACUUUUUUUGCUAACUUAAAAACGUUUCAUUUGCUAUUAGCACAGGACACAGGACUCACCUACCUGAUUCCUGGAGUAGAUGGCAGGUUAGGGUUAUUUUACAGCUUUUUUUCAUCUUGAGGGGUUUCUGUGGGAUUCACUCACAGAACACAUCUAUAUUUCCUAUGGCUUUUACAAUGCUUAUGAAACAUCUCCAUCUGGGUGCUUUUAUCCAAAAGCAACAUCUUUGAAUAGUCUAUGAUGGCUUCUGGUCCUCCUCUUAUACCUGGAUAAACUCCAGCCCUCACUGGUAGCCUGCCCUUCCCAGCUGACUGGCUGUAAGAUUGAGUUGUAUUUCCUUCCUUAACACUUAGUCACAGUCUGUUUCAAAUUGAUGUUUUCCUGUUAUAUAUUAUACUACCCUUUCCCUUCUUUUAAGUACUUUCUUACCAGCCAGACUAUGGUUUUCCCCUGUGGCUGGAGGUUUUGAUAAUUCUUGGCUUCUUCCCAUGUUGUCUGGGUAGGGUUCAGUAGACCAGGCAUAGCAUGAUGCGUGGAGUUAAGGCUCACCAUUGUUGAGAACUGGAGAGAAAGAUGGGUUAGUGUGGUCCCAGAAUAGUCAUGAAUGUGGUGGCUUUGACUAGCCUCUGUAAAAAGGGGAAAUGAUGAUGUCCAGAAAACUUGAGAACAGGUGACUCUCUGAUGGUUACAGUGUGCCUUCAGGAGGUGGGUAGUGGUACUAGCUCUGGGUGCCUUGGGAUUCUGGCUGGCUCCCUGGUCUUACCAUUACCUUUCCAGGCAUAGCUAAAAUACCAUUUACUUUUGAGAAUCUCUUUUUCUUUGGGGCGGAUAGGUUUCUUUCUCCAUAUUCCCAAGUAAUGUGUGAAGGUGAGGCAGAUUUCCCUAAAAAAGAAGAGAAGCUUCCAGAGUGUGUGUUGAGGUGAGGGGCAUAGUAGCCCAUAGACAUAGUAGAGCCUGAAGAGGCUAGGCUUACUAUUUUUCAGGAGAGGACAAGCAAGGAGCCUGGAAAGCCCACUGAUACUGUCCUUUGGGUGUUGCUUCAUGUCUGCAUCUUAAAGGAACUGAUACAAGUCUACAGGUUUGAUUGGCAUCUGGCAGGAGGUUCUGGCCCCUGUAAUGGGCCUGUUCUCUUCCUUUGCCUGAAUACAAGUAAGGCAAACAGAUGGUCCCAUGCUUUGUUGUCUUGUAUUGUGGUAAAAUAUGCAUAAAAUACAGCUCACUACUCAGAGCACAUAGCACAAAGCAAGUAAGGCGGCAGUGGGUGCUCACACAUACAGCCAUCACUAUGCAACUACAUGAGAGCUCUGUCACCUUUUCAAUAGAAGUUGUUGCCAUUAAGAUCUGACCCUUAGCUCCAUUCUCUUGUGUGUCAGCCUGAGUCCAUCAUGAACCUUGUACAAAUUGCCAUCCCUUACCAGAAAUGUUUGGGACAGGUAGUGGUUAGGAUAUUAGUGUUGGUUUUUGUUUUUUUUUGUUUUGUUUUUUUUUGUUUUUUUUGUUUUUUUUACAUUCUGGGGUAUUUGUAUAAAUAGUAUUUGAUAUCUUGGUGAUAAGAGCCAAGUCUAAACAGAAAAAUAAUUUAUGUUUCACUUAUACCUCAUACACUGAGCCUGAAGGUAAUUUUGUACCAUGGUUUUUAUUUCAGAUCUCAGACUUUGUGUAAGUGGACUUUUUUUUUUUCCUGUUUUUAAGAGAUGCAGGCCAAAGAUCUUUAAGAGGUGGGACCAGUGGUCAAUUUUAGGUCAUUAGAAUAUGGCUACCAAAUGGAUUGUCGGGCCUUGAUUUCUGCAUCUUAGAGAUGUGACUACUGGCCCUUAACACAUUAUUUUAGUUAGGGGUUUAUUGCUGUAAAGAGACACCAUGACCAUGACAACUAAAAGAAAACAUUUAAUUGAGGCUGGCUUAUAGUUUCAGAGAUUUAGUCCAACAUCAUCAUGGCAGAGUGCAGACAGACAUGCUGAAGACAGAGCUAAAAGUUCUACAUCCUGACCCACAGACAGCAGAAGGAAACUGUUCCACAAAGGGAUGGGUAGCUUGAGCAUAGGAGACCUCAAAGCCUGUCCCCACAGUGACACACUUCCUCCAACAAGGCUACUCCAUAUGGGCCAAACAUUCACAUACAUGACUCUUGGGGUGAGGGUGGGGGGAUGUCUACUCAAAUCACCACCCUCACAUUCCUACCACGAUGUACUAUACUAUCUUCACCAGAGGCCAGACCAAUAAACCGUUAGAACUGAGUCUAAGCAAACUUUCUCUACUUAAGAAGCCAGCAAGAUAGGUAAAAGGCUUGCCACACAAGCCUGAUAGCCUGAGUUUAGAGCUCACAGAAAAGCUAGCUAUGAUGGUUAAUGCCUGUAACUCUAGCAUCUCAUAUUGAGUUGGAGCCAGUGAGCCUGAAAUAUGCAGUACAGUGGGAGGAAAAAAAGAGACCCUGUCUCAAACAAGAUGAAAGUAAGGUCCUUUGACUACCACACUAGCACAC